GUGCUUCUGGUAUUCCUUGGUCUACCUUUGAACCUAAUCUAAGUUCAAACGGGAAGGUAAUCGACAUAACCCCCGGUCUUAGUGCUUUCCUAACUUGUGCUGUGAAAAAGCUUACCUUCUCAAAGAAGAAGCUGGAACCACUGCAAUUGUCACCUAAAAAGGAGAACCUCGAUUAUCUGGUUAACUUAGUGAAAGGCGGGAAGCUUAAGACGGUAAUCGAUUCAAAGUAUCCCCUAAGUAAGGCUGAGGAAGCAUGGGCUAAGAGCAUUGAUGGGCAUGCCACUGGUAAGAUCAUUGUGGAGCCUUAAUCUAUGAAAUAUUACUUUUUACUUACUACAGUGAUGCUUGGAGUUGGAGGUCAUGCUGCUUGUGUGUAUAAUUGGGAUUUGUGUAUUUUAAAAAUUAUGUGUAUGAAAUGUAUGGUUAAUAUACACAUUGGAUGACAUUGCAAAAUUUUCUUAAUGUGUUAUAAGCUUUGUUUUCACAAAUUUAGCUCUUGUUUUAUGUGUUUCUUACUUUUCCUUCGGACUUAUAUGUAUUUUUUUUCAUGUCUAUUUUAUAAUUUAUGUUCGGAGUUAAUAGCCUUUUUUUCUAAUAAUGUCGAUUUUAAGAUUAAAAAUACUUGUUGAAAUUUGUAUAGCUUUUCAUUGGUUGCAUAUUUUGAAAUUUUUUAAAAUUAAAGUUUUACUUAUAAAUUAAAUAUCUUGUUAAUAAUAUCUAUUAUAUAUUAUAUUUGAAAGUUUAUUGAGCAAAUAUUUUAUGAAUUAUAUUUUGUUAAAAAAUAUUUAAAAUUUAUUAAAUUACUUUUUUCAAUUAUUUAUUGUAACACAUUGAUUUUAAUUUUUAUAGGAUGUAGUAAAAAAUAAAAAAAAUUAAUUAUAUAAAUAAGUGUGACACUUAUCGCACCCUUAACCCACUUGUAAAGUAUAAAAAAUUUCAUUCGCGAUGUAUCAAAUAAUUACCCAUUAUUUUUUUUAUCAUUUUCAAUUAUAUUGACCUUUGAUUAACUUAUAACAUCAAUUUAUUCAUCAGUCCAAAUAAUAUCCUCAACGUACUUCACAAAUAAUGUAUGGAAUAAUUUUCCUUUGAAAUAUUUUUUCUAAACCUUGCGAACAUAUCUGUAUAUCUAUUACCUUCUUUACUGUUUGAACCGAUGAAGGGGAAUCUUGCUUAUCACACCAACUGAAUUAUCUUUUCAAUUUGAUUUCUUUAACCUUCACGAUGAUAAUUUAUUGGUUAAAUCUAUUAUUAGUCUAUAUAUUAUGCGUAAGUUAUAGAUUUAGGAUCCUUUUGGAUGGAAGUUUUUUUUAGUACGGUGCGUUUGGCUUUUUUUUGGUCUCAUAUUACCGUAUCAAAUCUUACUACUACUGCUGUUUUUACACUAACUGUAGGUAAACGCACCUUAAUCUCUAUACUUCAAUUUGGUAAAUUUUAAUCCAUGAACUUUUUGAAUUGGUCAAUUUUAAGUACUUUCCAAGUUUUAAAACUUUAGCCAGAACCCAAAUGGUAGCAACUAAAUUUGUUUUGGUUAAAAUCUACUAUUAGUUAUAUAUUUUGCGUAAUGUUUUAAAUUUAGCCCAUAAGCUCCUAUUCGAUUAUUGUUAAUCCUUAUAUUUUUCAAAAUUCAAAAUUUCAAUACUGACACAAAUAACAACUGCUAAAUCCAGUAAUUGAUUCUUUUGUGAGUAGCAUGUUAAAAUAAUAAGUUAACAUGUACAUAAUAUAUUUGCUGCAUAAUAUUUUGAAAAUAGUAUAACAUAUUAAAUCUAAUAGUUACCAUUUAGUUAAGAUUUUGAAAAAUACAUGUUUAAAUUUAACUAAAUUAAAGUAUAGAAACUAAACACACAACUUAUACCUAGUACAAAAGUUAAUAAUGAAAAUUAAUCUAAACUAUUAAAAACUAUUAAAUUUUGUCACACAUAUAAUAUGGGUGAAAAUGCAUGUAACAAAUUUAAAAAAAAUGAAAAAAAUUUGAUAUGAUAACAAAAAAUGGAGUUAGAAAAUUAAAAAACAUCAUAUUUUACGUUGAUGUCUCAUUAUGUCUAUCUAUUUUUCUACAUUUUAUAUAAAAAAAUAAAAUUACCCUUAAAAUUAUUUCUAUUACUAAUUAAAAUAAUAAAUUUUUGAUAAAUACACUCUUUAAAUUGAUGGGUGUCGAACCCAUCAAAAAUAAUUCCUACAAAAUAACUCUAAAUAGUAGUAAAGAGUGGUAGUAGGGCUGAGUCUACAAGGAUUGGAUGUUAUAAUCAACUUCCAUAUUUAACUUGUGAUCAUAAUUUUUGUCGUAUUGAAAGUAGUGGCAAAAGUCAUGCCCACGACUCCAAACGGGCCAGCUGAAAAAUAAACAAAUAAAUCAGGGAGUUUUGAAAUGUUUAGAAACUAAAUAAUUGAAAUAGCAUAAAUAAAAAAUUAAAUAAAUUAGAAAUUAAAUUAGAAAUUAAACUCGGAUUUGGUAAUCAAAGAUAAAUAAGCCUUAGCCCUAGACUCGGUGGACUCCGGAUUUUUUAAUCGAUCAUUGAAAAUUAAUUUUCUCCUCCAAAUAAUAAGCUGGUUAUAGCAGUUAAGAACAUCCUAACCACCAAUUCUUCCUAUUGUAGCUAGUCCCGGUACGACCUGCAAACCAACCCUUACCGAUUAUCUAAUCGAAUACACGUGUUCCCGAUUCAAGAUUCCAGCGGCCUUGCGCUCUGAAGAACCCAACUCGAAUUAACGGCCUCAACCGCGUGGAUCGUUUAAACCCGAUCACUUCUUCCUUGACUUGUUCUCGAAGAUUCGAAUACAGCACGGCCGACUCGUUUCUCCAAUUGUCAGCAAACAUGACUCCAACCCAACGUGCACUUUUUGACUUGAAAUCGAGUUAACUUUAAGGGAUGAGUUGUCAAUCCCGAUAGUUAGGAAAAAUGUGAAUACCGAUUAGAAAGAUUUUUAGUACGGAUACGUAUCUCACGAUUCCCAACCAGAAAGAACACCGACCUAAAGCUAAGAUGGAAUUUAGUGAAGCAUGGAUUUAAUCAUGUUUUGGUUGGCUAUGAUUGGAUUUGAAUGAAAGAUGGUGGAAAUUGGGAAAGGAAAGGACUUGGAGGACAAUUAGACAAAUUUUGAAAGAACAAAGAAUUGGAAAUGAAGUAAUUAACAGAAUGUUACGCACCAAAUUUGAGAAAAGAAAACAAUUCUAUUCAAUUCCAAAUUGAAAUCAAAAUGUGAAAUUAAAUGUGUCUUUUCUAAGUACAUUAAAGCCAUAGUAUUUAUUAAUUUUGGCUUUAACUACUUCAACAUAUAAUUAAAAUUAAAUAAAAAAUAAAAUAAGAUUUUUUCUGUUUUUGGCUUUUACAAAGUUAAAAAAAUUUGAUGAGCCAUUGGCUUUCUCCACAUUUUUGAUUCAGCCUCAUUUCAUUAAUUGUGUUUUAAUUUGGUCCUUUUCUGCUCGUUUUUUUCUCUUAGCGUUCCAAUUGCAUCCCUGAUAAGAUUAAAACAUAAAAACACUAAUUUAACAAGGAUCAAUUCAGAAAUAAACUGAAUUAAAGACAAAAUGUCAUACAAAUUAACAUGUUAUCAUAAAAUAGUGGAGUAAUAAAAAAUAGAUAGAUGAUAUAUUCACUCCUAAGUCUUUCCUCAAUCCAUAAAUAAGAGGAUAACGUGUGUUAGCGUACUCGAACUUACAUUCUCUUGUAUUAAUAAUAAUGUUUAUAUCCAUCAAGCUAAAACUUUAUCAACUCCACUCCCGAGUUUAUAGUAUAUUAGAGACUUAAAUAUGGUAACAGAUAAUAGAUAAUUAUUUUCCAACCUACCAAAUUAAACAUUUCGAGAGAUUUCUUGCAAAAUCAUCGAGGGUAUAUCCGUCAACUCAACAAUGUGGUCCCAUUUGUUUAAAUGGUUAUGGCUAGCAGUUAACAAUACAAAUCUCCACCUACGGUAUCCUCCGCCAUUCUCUGAACUUCAUUUUUCCUUCAAAAAAAAAAACAAAAAAAACUUCGAUUUUAUCUCUUUUAAUGAAAAAAAUGGCUGAAAAUCUUAUGCAUGCUUUACAAUAUAACAGCUACGGCGGAGGCGCUGCUGGUUUGAAGGUAAAUAUCUACUUUCUUAUGAUGAUUUAUUUUGCUUUCCGUAGUGUUUUGUCGCAUAUAUAAUUUUGUUUAGUUGAGAUAUUAAUUCGUUUUUUAAGUGAAGAUUUCAAUUAAGGUUGUUAAUAUAGUGUUUAUAUUGAUCUAAGUUUGCUCUUUGGAUUCAAAAUACUAUCAGUUAAAUUUGUGAUUGAAAAGCAUGAAGAUGAUUUCAGUGAGUGCCGUGAGUUACUAUGGAAGUGGAAUUUUCUGGAACGGGAAUGAACUAGGGAUUUGCUAUUCGGAAUUAAAAUUUCAAAAAAAGGAUCUGAGAUUGAGAGGAUGGCUUGAUAGUUAAAUGUUGAGCCAUUUUAUCGUCGGAUUCAAAAUUUUAUUUGUUAAGUUUGUGAUUGAAAGCAUAUAGAUAAUUUGAAUGAGUGCUGCGAGGCAGUAGGAUAGUGGAAUUUUCUGGAAUGGGAGUAAAUUAAGGAUUUGCUCAUUUGAAGAGAUCUGAGACUGAGGCUGAUACUUGACAGUGAAGUUGAGUGUUUAAAUUUUUUAUAUGGACUUGCUUGAUAUAAACUUGAAAAACUAAUAGCCAGCGACUUCAUGUCAUAACAGCUUUGAAUUUUUUUGUGCUUGUUACAGCAUGUUGAAGUUCCGAUCCCCACUCCAAAUAAAGGUGAAAUUUUGCUUAAACUGGAGGCAACUAGUCUAAACCCGGUUGACUGGAAAAUACAGAAAGGGAUGCUGCGCCCAUUUUUACCUAGAAAAUUCCCCUACAUACCUGGUAGUUUAUUUGUCAUCCUUUCACGACUGUUUUGGUCUUGAAAUAUUAUCGAGACUCUUUUUUUUUACUUGGUUAGUGGUAUUUGUGUUUAAUUUACACUAUCUGUUAAGUAUCUCAAGUUACAUCAGUCUUCAAUAUCUGGGUUUGUUGUAGUACCAUGUCAAAUUCCCAAGCAGUAUUCAACUUGGAAUCUAAUUUGCUUCGAUUUACAUUGUGAAGUUUGCUUUAGUAGUAACAAUUGAUGGAAGAAAUGUGCAUUUGUUAACUCAAGUUUUUAUUAAAGGACAGAAUUUGUCUAUUUGUUAAGGCAUAUCUUUUUCUAUAAUUAACCAACAUAAUAAUAGGCUGGUUGGUAGGUCUCUUAGUUUAAGCAGUUAUGGUUAUUUGAUGUUAAUUUUUGGCAUCCUAUUGUCAUGGAAGAUUUGAUAUCUCAAACGAAAGUUGCCUAUAUACCAUUUGCAAAUUAUAUUAAAGAACCCAUCAUCAGUAAGCUUUGUAGUUUUCUCUCUGUCUAUAUUUGGAUUGCCGCAUUUUAAGCAUUGGUCAAAGAUAUUUUUUUCAUGUGCAGCUACUGAUGUAGCGGGAGAAGUCGUAAAAGUUGGACCGGGAGUCACAAAUUACAAAGCUGGGGAUAAAGUUGUGUCUAUGCUCCAUCAUUUUGUAAGUUCUCAUUCUCAUUCUUAAUCCUUCCCCCCACCCCCCACCCCCCACCUGAAAAAAUAAUCAGCAUAAAAGCUCUGGCCCUUAGGCUCUCAACUGGCAUGUCAUUAAUCAUUCUGAGAACAAUCAGAAAGGAGAUUUCUUCAUGAAGAGUGGAAGAAUCACCAGCAUUUUACUAGCUUAAUAGAUCACAAUUUGAAAAAUUGUUAAUGAUAUUUGUGUUUUUGGUACUAGCUCAAGCAAUUAAUUGGGCACCGAGCUUGGUAGGACUUUAGGCAACAAUUCUUGAGGUAAAAUAUGGAUCUUCUUAUGGCCAAAAAAUCAACUUCAGAAUCCAACAAUGACAGAACAACGUAAAUUGUAGCCCCAUAAAAAGGAUUUUUAUGGACUGGUUCUACACUUUUUGUUCUAAAUAAACCAUGUUGAUCUUCCAAUGAGUGAUCUUGAUUAGCUCUAGUUAUGAGAACUGGUUAGCAUUGGCCUGCUUGCCUGAUUAGAUUAAUCAAAGUAAAUUAAAGCUGUCAUCCCCAGAAUUUGAAAUCCUGAAAGCUUUUGGCUUUCUUUAUUUUGCUUGUAUUGAUAGUGAUGCUAGAGAAAUAUAGUAUAUUCAAUGUUUCACUGGCCUUAUUACAACUAUAGGAUUAUCCUGAGACCCCAGAUCUUAUUACUGCUACUUUUCAUAUCGAGUCGUAUCGUGUUUAGAAUGCAAAAACUAUCUAUGUGGAUAUCAUUUCUGAGGUAGUGAUUUUAGUCUCAUCAUGUGGCCAUUUGGCUGAGAGAAACCUAGAUAUCAUUACUGCAGGCCAGUGGUUCAGUGAAUUCAUCUUCUAUUCGUAUUAUCAAUGAAUCAGUUAUGUCGAUUGCUAUGCUAUCUUCUAUUAUGAAUUAUUUGCAAUGAUAGACUGGAGGUGGACUAGCUGAAUAUGCUGUGGCUAAGGAGAAUCUGACUGUUGCAAGGCCACCAGAAGUAUCAGCUGCUGAAGGUGCAGGUUUGCCUGUUGCUGGUCUUACAGCUCACCAGGCACUCACACAGUCGGCUGGGGUCAAGCUUGAUGGAAGUGGCCAGCAAGUAAACCUCUUGAUUACUGCUGCUUCAGGUGGUGUAGGUCAAUAUGCAGUUCAACUAGCAAAGCUUGGAAACACCCAUGUGACAGCCACUUGUGGGGCUCGCAAUCUGGAUUUCGUCAAAAGCCUCGGAGCAGAUGAGGUUCUUGACUACAAAACUCCCGACGGUGCAGCUCUAAAAAGCCCUUCGGGUCGCAAAUAUGAUGCAGUGAUCCACUGUGCAAUGGGCAUUCCUUGGUCUACCUUUGAACCUAAUCUAAGUUCAAACGGGAAGGUAAUCGAUAUAACCCCAGGUCCUAGUGCUCUGCUAACUUUUGCUAUGAAAAAGCUUACCUUCUCAAAGAAGAACCUGGUACCACUGCUAUUGUCACCUAAGAAGGAGAACCUCGAAUAUCUAAUUAACUUAGUGAAAGAGAAGAAGCUUAAGACGGUAAUUGAUUCAAAGCAUCCCUUAAGUAAGGCUGAAGAAGCAUGGGCUAAGAGCAUUGAUGGCCAUGCCACUGGUAAGAUCA
rnacentral:lncRNA from 1 species